rnacentral:misc_RNA from 1 species
UUAAGUUCAGCGGGUAUCCCUACCUGAUCCGAGGUCAACCAGAAAAAAUUAGGGGUUACUGGCUAGCAGCCACCGCAGCCCAGCAGCGAGAGAUAUUACUACACUGAGGGAACCGAUGGUGCCGCCACUACGUUUGAGACCCGCCGUCGCCGGCGCGGCCCAAGACCAAGCAGUGCUUGAGGGUUGAAAUGACGCUCGAA